rnacentral:rRNA from 1 species
UACCAGCACCCCGAGUGGUCGGGACGUUUUAUUGGGCCUAAAGCAUCCGUAGCCGGUUCUACAAGUCUUCCGUUAAAUCCAACUGCUUAACAGGUGGGCUGCGGAAGAUACUAUAGAGCUAGGAGGCGGGAGAGGCAAGCGGUACUCGAUGGGUAGGGGUAAAAUCCGUUGAUCCAUUGAAGACCACCAGUGGCGAAGGCGGCUCACUGGCCCGUUACCGACGCUCAGGCGCGACAGCGUGGGGAGCAAACAGG